GGGCUGGUAGUUCAGCGGUAGAAACGCCCGCUUUGCACGCGGGAGACCGCAAGGUCCGCGAAUUCGAUUCCCGCCCAGUCCA
rnacentral:tRNA from 1 species